rnacentral:rRNA from 1 species
UACGGAGGGGGCGAGCGUUAUUCGGAAUUAUUGGGCGUAAAGGGCGCGUAGGCGGCCUUGUAAGUCAAAGGUGAAAUCCCUCGGCUCAACUGAGGAACUGCCUUUGAAACUGCAAGGCUUGAGGCCGGGAGGGGGUAGCGGAAUUCCCGGUGUAGCGGUGAAAUGCGCAGAUAUCGGGAGGAACACCGGUGGCGAAGGCGGUUCUCUGGGCCUGUACUGACGCUGAGGAGCGAAAGCGUGGGGAGCGAACAGG